rnacentral:sRNA from 1 species
ACCAAAUAAUCUAGCAUGCCUUCUAGGUCAUGAAACUUUAACAAGAAUGAAGUUAAUCAAAGUCAAUAAAGAUAGGUUCAUAGCAUCAGUAGUGAAUAACCAAGAAGAAGACUAUAGUCCAAAGUUUACUGAUGAUUU